CUAACGUUCUUCACUCUUUCACUCCCACACUCAGUAGCCUCCCUCCCUACUCAGUCCGACAGUCCAUCACCCUCACUCCCACACCCUUACGCCGCCGUCCCACACCACACUCCGUCCCUCAGUCCGACCCUCACAAGCCUCCGUCCCUCAGUCCGACCCUCACAACCCUCACUCCCACACUCCGUCCCUUAGUACCUCAGUCCCUCAGUCCGACCCUCACAAGCCUCCGGCUCCGGCAGCCGUUCGCGUCUCUGGUACCGUCGGCGUCUCUGAAACGUCGUCGCCUGCUUCAAGAUCGCCGAUCAGGACUUUCGGUUUCAUCACCUACUUCAAGAUCGCCGAUCAGGAUUUGAAGCAAUCACCUGCAAGAAGGUUCUUCAAUUAUACCUGGAGAUAGUACAUUUCAAUCCAUUCUUAAUGAUGGGGAGCCAAAUGAAGAUGAUGGGAGUUGUGCCACAAUUGAUGGGAGUUGCAUCACAAUUGAUGAAGAUUAAAUAUUUUGUAUUAAUUUAGUAGUUUUUUUAAUUUCUUGGACUUGUUGAAUUAAUUUGUUGGUAUAUAAUUAUUCUAAACUUGUGGCCUUGUGGGAUUUAUUUUGUAGCUUUUUAAUUUCUUGGACUCGUUAGACUUUUGAUACUUAUUUCUUAGACUUGUUGGAUUUAUUUUAUUUUUAUGUUUAGCUAGUGAUUAUGAUUAUGAUAUUA